CACAGUGUGGUUUAGUGGAUAGAGCAUGUGCCUGAAAGUCAGAAGAACCUGGGUUCUACUCCCAGCUCUGCCA
rnacentral:tRNA from 1 species